UACGUAGGGUGCGAGCGUUAAUCGGAAUUACUGGGCGUAAAGCGUGCGCAGGCGGUGAGCUGUGUCCGAUGUGAAAGCCCCGGGCUUAACCUGGGAAUGGCAUUGGAAACUGGCUCGCUGGAGUGUGGCAGAGGGGGGUGGAAUUCCGCGUGUAGCAGUGAAAUGCGUAGAGAUGCGGAGGAAAACCGAUGGCGAGGGCAGCCCCUGGGCUAACACUGACGCUCAGGCACGAAAGCGUGGGGAGCAAACAGG
rnacentral:rRNA from 1 species